CAGUUUCCCUAGCCCAGCAACCAACAUGGUGAGGAGGUGAGUCAGCCUGACCUGGUCAAAUCCCAGCUUCACUACUUAGCAGAUGGAGGCUCCUGGGAGCUUCCCAAGCCAUCUGUAAGGAAGACCCAUGUUCCCAUAUCCCUCUGUGAAUGAGACCCUCAGAAUGUGCUGGAAAAUUCUGGAAGGCCCCUCAUCUCACAGCACUGCCUCUGCCUCAGGGAGGAUGAAGCAUUGCCCCGGUUCAUCACAAGUUCAAGUACUUGGCCACCUGGCCAGAGGCCAAGGGUGCAGCUCUCCGGGCUUCUUCCCCACCAGCUGUCUGAGGUCUGACUCAAACCAGGGUCUUUCUGGUCCUUUAUCAAGCCAGAGAUGUACCUGCUCCUCAGCAACGCGCAGACCAGGGAGCCCCUGCCCCUCAACUUACCUCUCCUUCUGCCUGAACCCCAUGUUCUAAAACAGAACCACUGGGCGGCUACUUCAUGGUACCUCUCUGCAAAUCCACAAGGUGGAUACUGUUGGAGGCCAGAGGAGAAUUAAGGCCUAAUUGGCCUCCUCUGUGAACACCAAGGAGAAAGGCUGCACUUAGGGCUGAUUGCAUAUUAUAGGUUCUAAGGAAAACUUCAGUCAGCUGAGGUUCAGUUGUUUACCAGAGUAAGUACUAAUGGAUAUUGGGAAGCAGCUGAGUCUUGUGUUACUUCUGAUCGCUUGUACCCAUGUUUCGGUGAAUAAAAGCAAGAUGAGCCAGAUUGGGGUGUUCC